rnacentral:rRNA from 1 species
GACGUAGGGCGCAAGCGUUAUCCGGAAUUAUUGGGCGUAAAGAGCUCGUAGGCGGUUUGUCGCGUCUGCCGUGAAAGUCCGGGGCUCAACUCCGGAUCUGCGGUGGGUACGGGCAGACUAGAGUGAUGUAGGGGAGACUGGAAUUCCUGGUGUAGCGGUGAAGUGCGCAGAUAUCAGGAGGAACACCGAUGGCGAAGGCAGGUCUCUGGGCAUUAACUGACGCUGAGGAGCGAAAGCAUGGGGAGCGAACAGG